AUUGAACGCUGGCGGCAGGCCUAACACAUGCAAGUCGAGCGAGCGGAGGACGGGGGAGUAUUGUAUGGGGAUAUGCCCGAUGGAGGGGGAUCACCACUGGAAAGGGUAGCAAAUACCGCAUAAUAUCAGAUGCACCCAUAUGGGAUUAGCUAGUGGGGGGGGUAAGGUCUCACCAAGGCGACGAUCUCUAGCUGGUCUGAGAGGAUGAAAAGCCACACUGGUACGGAUACACUGCCCAGACUCCGACGGUAGGCAGGAGUGGGGAAUAUUGCACAAUGGGCGCAAGCCUGAUGCAGCCAUGCCGCGUGUAUGAAGAAGGCCGUAGGGUUGGAAAGUACUUGCAGCGGGGAGGCGUUAUCCGCAGAAGAAGCACCGGCUAACGCCGUGCCAGCAGCCGCGGUAAUAC
rnacentral:rRNA from 1 species